CGUAGUCGGGCUGUGAUUAUGAAAGAUGCUUCCCAUUGAAAUACAUUAGUUUAAAAAACGUGCUGAUAUCACGAAUAAAAUGAGAUAAACGUGUUGUGCACACAAAUCAAUAGAU